AUCAGGUACUCCGGAAGGGUAAGCACCCGUCGUGUUGCUCAUGGUAUUACAAACCCAGUAAAUAAUCUAAUUCCGUAGGUCACAUUCGUGGUAAAAAGGGAUUGGAUUGUAGUUACGACAUAAGGAACAUAUCCGAUAUCAUCUGUGAAGCGUUAUACCAUAACGAUCAACCAACUCGAGAUGGCGUCCGUAAAAUUUAAGAAGGGACGAUUUCAACUUCACCAUUUGGAACUCUUGGUUUAAUAGCUUCGAAUUCCUUGUAAGAAGUAAGUUAACCCUCUAUCAAAUAUAUUACUUUACCUCAACCAAAUGCUAUAAAUCUUAUUAAUAAUGCUUGCUACAACAAAACACAGAUUAAGUUUUUGAAUUUUUGUGGCGUCACGUUUACGUUCUAGAAGUAUGCCUCUUUACAAAUACAAAAUUUGUUAAAUAAUUCGAUUCCAUUCCAACCAAAUGCCCCAACCAACUUUUAUGAAACGUUUACACAAUGCUUAUUGCCACAACAUUCAAAUCAAGUUCGAAUUUGGGUAGCAGCAUUUUUUUUUUUUGCUGUUCUUUAGUUCUGUCCCUGUAUAACGUUACAUGCAAGCGGGGCAUUUGUGUCCAAUGGACACAUUCCCCAUUUAUUUUUAUCUGUUGCCCCACGAUAAAUACGUUCUCCCUUUUUUUUAAUACUUACUGGUAAUUAAAAAAUAACAGAAACUUGUAGUGCCGAUUGAAAAAAUAAACAAAAUGCAUGUUAAUCAACUGUAAAAUAGACUUAAACUAAAUGAGAUAAUCAUAUGAUCCAUGCAAUAGGCGGAUCUGGGGGCCCAUUUCGUGGGGAAAUUUGGUUGAUUAUAUAAGGAAUCACUGAAGCAUGACUGGAGCGGCACCUCCCCUUAGCCUAGGUCAGUCAGCCCCCUUUUUCCCCGCUUAUGAAAACUUCUGGAUCUGCCACUGCAUGCAAAUAAAAG
rnacentral:lncRNA from 1 species